CUUGCUUAAUUGCGAUAACGAACGAAGACCUCCGGCCCCGUUAAACUUAAGCCCGGGUCCCGGCCAUUUGCGGGCCGGCUGGCUUCUUAGGGGGACGUAUCGGCUCAAGCCGAUGGAAGUGCGCGGCAAUAACAGGUCUGUGAUGCCCUUAGAUGUUCUGGGCCGCACGCGCGCUACACUGACAGGGCCAGCGAGUACAUCACCUUAACCGAGAGGUUUGGGUAAUCUUGUUAAACCCUGUCGUGCUGGGGAUAGGGCAUUGCAAUG
rnacentral:rRNA from 1 species